rnacentral:lncRNA from 1 species
UGAGCUUAGUCCCGUGAUUUAAGACAAUCUGCGAUUUGUAUGUAGAGGUUGGGGUACCGACGUUGGUGACGGUUCGGUUGAAACUGAUGGUGAAGGAGCUAUUAGUUUUCGAAAGUUUAGCCGACAUUGAAGGAUAGUUGAGGUUUCUUGGUAAGGUGUUUCCAGUGCAAGUGACGGCUUCACCGGUAAUGAGUCUAAGGGUUUUGGAAGUGUAGUUCAAGCCGCAGAGAAAGGUGAUGUGGUCUGCUUUGUCCAGUUCAUAGACAAGUCCAGGAUUUAGAGCAGCUAUUGGGUCGACAUGGCCAGCUCCAUAAGCAAACUCGGUUGAUGAAACUCCAAUGUCAGAAGCAUUCAUCGACCAAGCUGCAAAUAUUAAUUAAGAGACACCAUAUAAGAACGGAGUUAUCAGCCAGAAGGUUACUUGUGCUACAAGAAACUAAAAGCUGGAUAUGAGUUUGGCGUACCGGUUGUCAUGAUGGCAGAUUGGAUCACGGAUGGAGACCAGUCAGGAUGAAAAGUCUUGAUGUAUGCAGCCACGCCUGUGACGUGUGGACAAGACAUUGAAGUUCCAGAUAGAACAGAGUACUUCACAUGUCUCUGGUCGAUAUCUUCUGUAGGUGAACCCAAAGGUGAAUAGGCAGCGAGAAUCUCCACUCCUGGUGCUGUUAUAUCUGGCUGCAUUUCACUCAACUUUUGUUUCUCAAACCCAUAUUUGUAAAUAAGACGGAACAAAGAUAAAAACAGUAUUAUAUGUCACCUUAAGAAGGUCAACAGCGAUAGUGUUUGGACCGCGAGAAGAGAAUGAAACAACUUUAGGAGCUUUCUGAUUAAAGACUGCCUCAGUUUUUAGAACAGUACCUUGGGUGGACCUGAGAAUAACAAACAUAGAUGUAUCAGGACAAACGAAAAAUCUGGAGAAAUUGUUAAGUGCAUGAAAUAUAUAUAUAUGUAUAUAUAUAUAGAGAGAGAGCUACUUUGUUGAGUUAACGUAAGAGACAAGAAACUCAAAGUCAUCUGGUGAUAGAGCAGAGAGAGGACGAGAGCUAAUGGAUGCAUAGUCUUUGUAGUCUCUAAUUAUGGUUGCAACAGCUACAUCUGAACUAACUGAGUAUCCGCUCACCAAUAUUUUGCCCUUGACCUGAGAUCCUUCGAUAUAAUCUCCGUAGAUAAGAGGAUAGUUCUUUCCCUUCAGAUCAAAAGCAUUCACUGAUCUCCCCUUUUCAAGACAAAAACAAAAGAGUCAUUUGAAGGGACAGAGAAAAUACUAUUAUCAUAGGAAUGUUACUUGAUACUUACGGAAAGUGUCUUGCUGUUUUGGAGAACAACUUUGGUGAGAAACUCACGGUUGGUUGUACUGGCUGCAACGGUUAAUAUCCACGGCGCUACGCUUCCGACUGUGUUUGGAUCUGGACCGCUGUUACCGGCUGAAUUCACAGUGAGGAUCCCUUUGGCCAUAGCAUGGAAAGCCCCGAUCGCAAUCGUGUCCUCUUCGUACCUAAGGACCUCACCGUCGUCUCCCCCUAGGGAGACGCUGAUGAGGUCGACACCAUCUGCUAUCGCGUCAUCGAAUGCAGACAGUACAGCUUCUGAACCACACUCUGUGCCGGUGCAGACUUUGUAAGAAGCGAUUCUAGCAGCUGGAACGCCGCCUCUAGCCGUUCCAUUGCCAAUUCCAAAGAAGCUUGCCCCCGCAACUGCGUUACCAGCCGCAGUGGAUGAUGUGUGUGUACCGUGGCCUUGGUUGUCCCUGGUGCCUUCGCCUGUGUAGUCUCUUGCUCCGAUCAACUUGCUGAAACAUUGUAAACAACAUCAGUCUCUUCUUUAUAAACAAUACUAAUAUUAUAAGAUAGACAUUUUGGAGAAUUACUUGUUGCAAGUGAAGUUUUUGCCGCCAGAACAAACACCUUUCCAUUUUUUCGGAGGAGGACCAAAGCCUUUGUCGGAGAAGCUCUCGGACUCUGGCCAAAUCCCUGUGUCAAUGAGACCGAUGAUAGUAUCACUCUCUACUGCCAAGUUUCGCUUUGUAUUCUUUCCUUCCUUUAACCCCAUGAAGUCCCAAGACGCAGUCGUUUGGAUUUGUAACUUCUUGCUCCUGAACACUGACACAACUCCUUCCAUUUCUAAGACAAAAUGAGACAUUGGUUUCAGUUAUCGAACAAUAUAAGUGUGUGUACGUUAAAAAGAUAAGUGUGUCUCUGUCAAAUAUUACUCACCAGCUAUUCUUUCUCGUUCUGGCUCAGAGAGCCGGGCAGCGAACCCAUUGAAACUCCUCUUGUAACUUCUCAUCAAACGACCGUCGAUCAAACUGUAGAUAUAAAUAUUUGUGUAUUAUGUAUGUAUCACUUGUUAGAAUCCUCAUCAUAACAUAAACUAAUUAUAACUUAUUAAUGAUUAGAAAAUGAAUCUGUUAAUUAGCACCUUUCUCCAGUGAUCUCUUGAAGGAUGCUCAUGUGAUGAGACAUUGGUGAGUAUUCUAGCCCAGACGGAAGUGAUCCCAUGUAGACAAUAUAGACCUUCAUGAAUUAUAUUAUAUUAUCAUGUAUGCUGGAUUGGAUUCAAAUAAUAAUAAGAAUAAACAAAAUAAUUUCGUUAAUUAUGAGACGAUACCUGUUUAUCUUGAGGAUCAUCUGCAACUGCUGAGACUGAACUCAAGAACAAGACGAGGACACAUGAGAGGAGACAAAAUGAGUUUGCUGGUAGUUUCUCCAUUUCUUAUAAUAUGAAACUAAAGGUUUCUGUAAUAUGUAAAUAUCUAUGGGAUCGACAUGAUAAUAUGCAUAAAUAGUAGAAUCAUUCCUAAACUCCUCUGGAUCUAUUUAUUAUUGCUAUUAUAUAUUACCAUAAUAUGAAGGACAUUUAUAUCAAUGAUAUCAUUGAACAUUGACUUGUUUUAGUCAACAUUGUAUUGUAUAUAUCUAUACAAUUAAAACAUAAAGCUUUCUGAGACACCUUUCUAUUUUGCAAAUAUUUACAUUCUACUGCCACUGGUUUAUUUAAAUCAAAUUUUAUUUAUAUAUAUUUUCACGAUAAACUUUUUAAUUCAACAAUCUCUAGAAACCAUGAAAAGAAUUCAAAUAUUUUAACUAAAUUAUUUUUAUUUGUUAACAUAAUCAGUUAGGCAUGGGCAUUCAGGUAUAUGGUUCAGAUACAGAUCGAUAUUUACGGGAAUCGAGUUUUAGGACUUUAAAAUUAAAUUAUGUUCUGGUAUUAUAAAUUUUCAAACAUGGUUGGGUCCGGAUAAGUUUUUAUGAAGCUAAAAAUAUCUAAAUAACAUAUAUGAUUAAAAAUGUCAUUAAACAAUUUAUAAAAAUAAACCCGCACGGGCAUGCGGAUCAAACUCUAGUCUAUACUAUUAAAACAUAAAACUUUUUUUGAGGUGCCUUUGUAUUUUUUAAAUAUUUACAUUUCAGUGCCAAUGGCUUAUUUAAAUCCCUAUGAUUUUAUUUAUAUACAUUUUUCACGAUAAACUUUUUAAUUCAACAAAUCAUUAUUUUUAAUAUAUUUUUAUUUUGAGUUUAAUUAAUUAACAUAUCUACGUAUCUACUAUGCUAAGUUUUAAGCUUGCAAAUACAAACCAUAAAUUAUUAUAUAUUUCCUAAUAUGGCUGCAAAAUAAACCAUAAACCAUAUGCUAUGAUAGAUGUUUAAUGUAAUACAAACCAUAAAUUAUUCACUUAUUCUAUUUUUUUUUCUUUUAUAUCAAAUGAUAAUAUUAUGAGAGAUGUUUAAUGUAAUACUUCUAUUUCUUAUAUUCUAUAUUUACUUAUUAUAUACUUUAGUAUACAUUUUUCUAGGGGUGGGCAAAAAAAUCGAACCAAACCGAGUUAAACCGAACCAACCGAACUGAAACCGAUUCAAACCAAACCAAAGUCUAUUUCAAACCAUUUGGUCGAAGAUUUCCCUAACACGAAUGGUUUGGUUCGGUUCGGUUUAAAACCAAACCGAUGUGUUUUUGUAAUUAUUUAAAUUAAAAAUAUUAGUAAUACCAAUAUACUAAAAUUCUAAUACUAAACCACAUAUUUUCCAUUUUUAUUCAUUGACAUAUAUUCUUCUAACCUAAUAUGUAAUCAUCAAAAUAUUUGAUUUAAAAUAUUUUAUUCAUUGUAGGCUUUUUGAUUUUAUGAUAUAAGAUACAUUACUAAUGAUGUUGAGUUUUUUUUACUUUAGUUAAUUUUCAUUUACUUUAGUUAUAUUGAAUUUAGUUCACAUUUAUGUUUACAUAAUUAAUCUUGUAAAACAUAAUUUCUCUUAGAAAAAUUAAACUAAGAAGAAUCUAAUUAAACUGAUCAAAAAAAACAAACUGAACCGAAUACAAACCGAACCGAAUACAAAUCGAACCGAAUACAAACCAAACCAAACUAACUAUGGUUUACUUCAGUUGGAAAAAUACUAGAACCAAACCAACCAAACCAAACCGAAUCCGAACAGAACCGAGAAAAUAACCGAAGUGCCCACCCCUACAUUUUUCAGAUAGAUAUUUAUGUUUUUUUUCUAUAUAUUGUAUAUUUAUUUAUUCUUUAUUUUUUACUCUAAUAUUAUGAUAGAUGUUUAAUGUAAUAUUUUUAUUUCUUAUACUAUAUAUUUAAUUAUAUUUAUUUUACCAUACAUUUUUCAGAUAGAUGUUUAAUUUAGUUUAUCCAUUUCUGAUAUUGUAUAUUACCUUAUUGUUUAUUUUUUCUUAUAUUGUAUAUUUACUUAUUCUAUUUUUUUUUUGCUUUUAUAUCAAAUGAUAGUAUUACAUUAGAUAUUUAAUGUAAUAUUUAUAUUUCUUAUAUUAAAUAUUUACUUAUAGUUUAGUUUUUCUUAUAUUGUAUAUUUAUUUAUUCUAAUAUUACGAUAUAUGUUUAAUAUAAUAUUUUUAUUUCUUAUAUUGUAUAUUAACUUAUUAUUUAUUUUACUAUACAUAUUUCAGAGAGAUGUUUAGUUCUUUUUUUUCAUUUAUUAAUUGUAUUUUACUUAUUAUAUAUUUUUCUUAUAUUGUAUAUUUAAUUAUUCUAUUUGUUUUGCUUUUAUAUCAAAUGAUAAUAUUAUGAUAGAUGCUUAAUGUAAUAUUUCUAUUUCUUAUAUUGUAUGCUGGUUUUUUUUAUAUUGUAUAUUUACUUAUAACAAUAUUUGGAAAUAAUAAAAUGUAAAACUAUACAUUUUUCUCAUAGAUUUUUAAUAUAGUUUUUAAAUUUCUUAUAUUGUAUAUUUACUUAUUUUUUAUAUAUUGUAUAUAUACUUAUUCUAAUUCUUUUGAUUUUAUAUCAAAUUGUAAUAUUAUGACAGAUGUUUAAUGCAAUAUUUCUAUUUUUAUAUUGUAUAUUUACUUAUUAUUUAUUUUAUUAUACAUUUUCAAAUAGAUAAUUAAUGUAAUAUUUAUUUCUUAUAUUAAAUAUUUACUUAUUGUUUAGUUUUUCUUAUAUUUUAUAUUUAUUUAUUCUAAUAUUCCGAUAGAUGUUUAAUAUAAUAUUUGUAUUUCUUAUAUUGUAUAUUAACUUAUUAUUUAUUUUACUAUACAAUUUUCAAAUAGAUUUUUUUUUUAAUUUAGUUAUUCUAUUUUUCUAUUAUAUAUUUACUUUUUUUGUAUAAUGUAUAUUUUCUUAUUAUUUAUUUUUUCUUACAUUGUAUUUUUGCUUAUUUUAAUAUUACGAUAAAUGUUUAAUAUAAUAUUUUUAUUUCUUAUAUUGUAUAUUUAUUUAUUAUUUAUUUUCCUGUACAUCUUUGACAUAUAUGUUUAAUUUAGUUUUUUUAAUUUUUUAAUUGUAUAUUUAUUUAUUGUUUAUUUUUUCUUAUAUUGUAUAUUUACUUAUUCUAAUUUUUUUGCUUUUAUAUCAAAUGAUAAUAUUAUGAUAUAUAUGUGUAAUAUUUCUAUUUCUUUUAUUGUACUCUCUUCGUUUCAUAAUAAAUGAUUUUUUUGAAAAAAAUAUUGUUGUUUCAAAAUAGAUGUUUUGAUAUUUUAUGUUAUUUUUAACUUUACUGAAAAUUGUGUAACUAAUUAGAUGUUGCAGUCAUUUUUGUAAUUGGUUAAAUGAUUUUAAAAUUAUAUUUUUAAAACAAGUAUUCAGAGAAAAGUAAAUUUCUUACUCUUUACGCACUAAGAGAAAACAUCAUGUAUUGUGAAACGGAAAGAGUAUAUUUAAUUAUUAUUUAUUUUUCCUAUAUUGUAUAUUUACCUGUUAUUUAUUUUUUUGCUUUUUAGUAAUAAUGUCAUGUGGUUUCUUUUGGAAGAAGAAUUUUAUGCUGAUGUGGACACUGCAAAGAGCCUCAAAUAGUCUAUUUUAUUAGUAUAGAGACAAAAUCCAAAGGGGAUUGAGAGUUCCAAACAAAAUAAAGUUGAAUCUUGUUCCUGCAUCGUCUAUCUUCUUCUGUUUCACGAAACCGAGGAAGAAGAAGACUUAUUUACAAGUUUACCAUUGAGUUAAAACAAAAGAAAUAUUAAAUAAAAUAAAAAAGUAACGUAACACUGUUCAAACUCUAGAUAAAUUGAAUCAAACCACAUUACUGUCCACUACACCACGUUUACAACUGAGUUAUCUUACAAAAAUUUAAUAUAUAAUAUGUCACAUUGCUUAUAUAGUUACAUACUUACAUAUACCCUUAUAUAUAUAUUGAAAUGUACAUGUAAAAAAGGCUUGAAAACUAGGCCCCGCGUAUUCCCCGUUUAAUCUCCGAUUUUUCGGUAACUCGCUAGGCUUGGACCAGCCGCCCGACUUACGCCUAGCGUAGUUUUGAAUAUGGCUCUAAACUCUAAGAGCACCCCCAUUGAAAGUAUCUACCUCAAAAUAUCUAAAAGUACAUAUUAUGUACAUAUAUAUAUUUUAUAUGUGUAUGUAAUCGCAUAACUCAAAGUAUCUGAAACCAGCCCAGCUCUAGAUUUUAGACUGUGAACUUCAGCUAUAUAACUGUGCUUAGGAGAUAAGACAUUAGAUCAUCUUUAUCCCUCUACAAAAAGGGCUGCUUAUGGCCUGGGGACCCACCAAAAACACAAGCAACAUCCCUUCCGCAUGUAAAAUAAGCACCCAGUUUUCUUUGUUGCUUGUACUGUUCGCGGGACCCAACAACACGUGGCGGUCCGCAGUUAGUGCAUUUUUUAAUUUUUUUUUUCUUCAGACAGAAAAAAAAAUUUUAAGCAAUUCAUGAUUGCUGGGAUAAUGAUGCUGUUAGCUCAGACCAACAGAAAAAAGAGUUAAGACAUUAGCAUAUGUCGGAAGCCAAGAGAUCAGACAUAGAAUCAACGAGAUUACUCAAACAUAAGGAUUAUAUUGAUUUAUUAUAUUAAAUAUUAUCAGACUGAAUCAGGAAUAUCAGUAUAAACAACAAUGGGGCUUCUAACUUUAUGGGUGCCAUCAGACCAUAUUAAACUUGCAGAAGAAGGCAGCUUUGGGUCGAUAUUGCUGCCUGAAACAGUCACGGUGAAAGACUGCUUCUCGUUCACCGACUUCAUAAACAGGACAUCAGGUGAAACCUUGACACUGAGCUUAGUCCCGUGAUUUAAGACAAUCUGCGAUUUGUAUGUAGAGUUGGGGGUACCGACGUUGGUGACGGUUCGGUUGAAACUGAUGGUGAAGGAGCUAUUAGUUUUCGAAAGUUUAGCCGACAUUGAAGGAUAGUUGAGGUUUCUUGGUAAGGUGUUUCCAGUGCAAGUGACAGCUUCACCGGUAAUGAGUUUAAGGGUUUUGGAAGUGUAGUUCAAGCCGCAGAGAAAGGUGAUGUGGUCUGCUUUGUCCAGUUCAUAGACAAGUCCAGGAUUUAGAGCAGCUAUUGGGUCGACAUGGCCAGCUCCAUAAGCAAACUCGGUUGAUG